AGCAGCCGCGGUAAUUCCAGCUCCAAUAGCGUAUAUUAAAGUUGUUGCAGUUAAAAAGCUCGUAGUUGAAUUUCGGGAUUAGUAAGUUGGUCGUGCCUCCGGUAUGUACUGGCUUUACUGGUUCCUCCUUCUUGAAGAACUGUAAUGUCAUUAAUUUGGUGUUGCAGGGAAACAGGACUGUUACUUUGAAAAAAUUAGAGUGUUUAAAGCAGGCUAACGCUUGAAUACAUUAGCAUGGAAUAAUGAAAUAGGACGUUUGAUCCUAUUUUGUUGGUUUCUAGGAUUGACGUAAUGAUUAAUAGGGAUAGUUGGGGGCAUUAGUAUUCAAUUGUCAGAGGUGAAAUUCUUGGAUUUAUUGAAGACUAACUACUGCGAAAGCAUUUGCCAAGGAUGUUUUCAUUAAUCAAGAACGAAAGUUAGGGGAUCGAAGACGAUCAGAUACCGUCGUAGUCUUAACCAUAAACUAUGCCGACUAGGGAUCGGAUGAUGUUAAUUUUUUAAUGACUCAUUCGGCGCCUUA
rnacentral:rRNA from 1 species